UGUUACAAGAACUAGCUAUAGUACUCUAGUAAAAAUGGAAGGAGAGCAAUAGUACCAGAGAGGAAGACUGGCUCAAGGAAUGCGAAUACACUGAUGGAAGUGCUUUUGUGCUGGGCGGUUUUGGAUGAUCCCAUGAUCUCCUCCUUUAACUCCAUACUCUUCUUCCACAUCAGGUUGCUGUGGAGAGCAUAGAAGGCAACCCAAGAGGCUCUUCAGCAAGGGACAACCAAGGCAUAUAGCAUCAAUCCACUCCACCAUUUGAUCAGUUCCUUGAGACAUAAUCCCUGCAGAUAUACGUUUGCAAGAGAAACUACUCAAAAACAUAACUCUCCGCUGUCUAUAUGAGAACGGAGAGAAGCAAAUAUAUAAAAGAUUGAAAUC
rnacentral:lncRNA from 1 species